GAGGGAGGGAGGGGGAGGGGCAUUGGCCAGAACUGGUGGUGCCGCGGCCAGUGGGAUCUCGCGCCUGAGGAUGAUGGGGGGCGGAGGGCGGCCCCUGCCCCUGGCCCACCAUGUGCCCUCCUGGCUGGCAGGGCCAUCCAGCUUGCUCCGUAGAAGUCGGAUCUACAGACUUGGGCAGAGGGAGAAGGCUGAGGCUGCUUCAUUUUACAGCCAGGCGUGCCUUCUGGUGACCGUGUUCGGCCUGCUGAGGAACCCCCUUCCAUAGGUGCACUGGGGCUGAUUCCACUCCCUGGCUCCAGCAGGCCCUUGUCACCCUGAUAUCAAAGCCAGACAAAGACAUCACAAGAAAACUACAGACCAAUAACCCUCACGAAUACAGAUCUAAAUGUCCUCGGCUCAACACUAGCAAAUCAAACCCAGCGGCGUAGUAAAGGGACUGUACAUCAUGACCGAGUGCAAUUUAUUCCGGAAAUGCAGAACGGCUCAAAAUGUGAAAAUCGGCCCGCGUAACACACCACAUUAACAGAAUGAAGGAAAACAAUCAUUUUGAUGGUUUCAAUAAAUCCAACGCCCGUUCGUGAUAAAGACACAGAGAAACUAGGAGCUCCUUCAACCCGAUAAAGGGCGUCUGCGCCCGUCGCUGUGUGCGUGUGCAUGCGUGUGCGUGCGUGUGCCCGCCUGUGUGCACAUGCAGGGAGAGACCAAGAGCUUUGUCCCUAAAGUCAGGAGCCAGACAAGGACGUCUGUGCUCGCCACUUCUAUUCAACGUUGUCCUGGAAGUUCC